GACGAACGCUGGCGGCGUGCUUAACACAUGCAAGUCGAACGGAAAGGCCCUGCUUUUGUGGGGUGCUCGAGUGGCGAACGGGUGAGUAACACGUGAGUAACCUGCCCUUGACUUUGGGAUAACUUCAGGAAACUGGGGCUAAUCCCGGAUAGGAGCUCCUGCUGCAUGGUGGGGGUUGGAAAGUUUCGGCGGUUGGGGAUGGACUCGCGGCUUAUCAGCUUGUUGGUGGGGUAGUGGCUUACCAAGGCUUUGACGGGUAGCCGGCCUGAGAGGGUGACCGGCAAAAUUGGGACUGAGAUACGGCCCAGACUCCUACGGGAGGCAGCAGUGGGGAAUAUUGCACAAUGGGCGGAAGCCUGAUGCAGCAACGCCGCGUGCGGGAUGACGGCCUUCGGGUUGUAAACCGCUUUCGCCUGUGACGAAGCGUGAGUGACGGUAAUGGGUAAAGAAGCACCGGCUAACUACGUG
rnacentral:rRNA from 1 species